UGGGAUGUAGGACUACAUUUCCCGGCGCGCUUUGCGGCACAGCGGCCAUCUACACGGUGCAAGCGGGAAGAUGUCGUCGCUCGUGGAUGAGGUGAUGGCGGCGUCGGGGAGGCUGGAGAAGGACGACAUCGGCACCAAGAUCCGCCCCUGGAUCGUCGUGUGGAGCAACUCGAGGGAGAAGUGUGUCACAAAUUAAACAAGAAGCAUGAGGAGUUCUUCCCAACUUUCAUAAAUGGAGAGGAUUUGGUAAAACAGGUUGAGAGAGACCUCCGUGUUGCUGCUACUGAGUUCAGUGAACUGAAACACAAGUUGGGAAAAAGUACAGGUGUAUUGAGUGUGUUAACACACUUAUUAGAGUGACGGCCACUGAGAACAAGAGUUUGUCAGUCGAUAUUCCAGACACGAGCAGUGGACACAACCCAGAGGAAUGUCCUUUAAUUCUGAAGCUGUGACCUCUAGUCCUGGACUCUCCCACUAGUGGAAACAUUCUCUCUACAUCCACGCUAUCCAAGCCUUUCACUGUUCGGUAAGUGUCAAUGAGGUGUCCCUUCAUCCUUCUAAACUCCAGCGAGUACAGGCCCAAUGCUGACAAAUGCUCAUCGUAUGUUGAAGCCACCAUUCUAAUAAACCUCCUCUGGUUCCUCUCCAAUGCCAGUACAUACUUCCUCAAAUAUAGGGCCCAAAACUGCUCCCAAUACUCCAUGUGCAGUCUGAUCAGCAUGUUAUAAAGCCUCAGCAUUUUCUCAUUUUAUGGUCACUACCUCUGAACGGUUCUUUUACCAUAAUCACCCUGAUUAAAUCUGGUUUGUUAUACAAUAGUUUUAGUUUUAGAGAUACAGAGUGGAAACAGGCCCUUCAGCCCACCGAGUCUGCGUUGACCAGCGAUCUCUGCACUCUAACACCAUCCUACACACACAAGGGACAAUUUGCUAAUUUAUACAAGCCAAUUAACCUACAAACCUGUAAGAUCAUUGGAGUGUGGGAGGAAACCGGAGCAUGGGGAGAACAUACAAACUCUGUAAAGACAGCACCUACAGUCAGGAUUGAACCUGGGUCUCUGGCGCUGUGAGGCAGCAACUCUACCGCUGUGCCACUAUGCCCCCCAUAUACCAAUGCCAAGCCAAAUUGCCCAGUAUGCUCGAUUACAAGCUGCUCUUAGAAGCCAUCUCAAAGACUCUACAAAUUCCUUCUGUUGAUAUCCAGUACCAACUUGAAUUUCCCAGUCUAUCUGCAUAUUGAUACCGCCACGACCUUUAUCCUGCUGCAACCUUACACCACCUUCCUUGCCAACCACAACAUCACAAAUUUUAAUAUCACCUGAAAUUUGCAAAUUAUACUUUCUCCCACUGAGGCACAAAAGAUGCAGAUGCUGGAAUCUGUAGCGACAUUCCAUCUGCUGAGGGAACUCAGCGCGUCAGGCAGCAUUUCAUACGUUUGUAAGAUACAGUAACAGACUUAGGCCAUUCGGCCCAUCAAGUCCACUCUGCCAUUCAAUCAUGGCUGAUCUAUCUUUCCCUCUCGACCACAUACUCCUGCCUUCUUCCCAUAACCACUGACCCCUGUACUAAUCAAAAAUCUGUCAAUCUCCGCCUUGAAAACACAUUGACUUGGCCUCCACAGCCGUCUGGAAACGAAUUCCACAGAUUCACCACCCUCUGGCUAAAGAAAUGCCUCCUCAUCUCCUUCCUAAAAGAAUGUCCUUUAAUUCUGAGGCUGUGACCUCUCCCACUAGUGGAAAUAUCCUCUCCACAUCCACUCUAUCCAGGCCUUUCACUAUUCGGUAAGUUUCAUUGAGGUCCCAUCUCAUUCUUCUAAACUCCAGCGAGUACAGGCCCAGUGCCGUCAAACGGUCAUCCUAUGUAAACCCACUCAUUCCUGGGACCAUUCGUGUAAACCUCCUCUGGACCCUCUGCAGAGCCGGUACAUCCUUCAUCAGAUACGGGGCUGAAAAUUGCUCACAAUAUUCCAAAUGCAGCCUGACCAGCGCCUUAUAAAGUCUCAGCAUUACAUCCAUCAAGUCAACUUUAUUUGUCACAUACACAUACAAGAUGUGCAGUGAAAUGAAAGUGGCAAUGCCUGCGGAUUGUGUAAAAACAACAGAACAGAACCAGUAUCCACAUUUUAGAAAAUAAAUAAAAUGAUACAACCAACCGGCUCAGGCAAAGUCCUCUUCUGCCUGGCACCGUGACUCGCGGAGGGCCAGCUUGGCCAGGCCUAGGAGCAACCCAACCAGGCCAUCUUCAGCCCAGCCCACUCCCUAGAUCCCAUCACCAGUCUUUCAGUCGCUGACAGCAGAGUCACUCCUCCCCCUAUCGACC